rnacentral:rRNA from 1 species
UUGAACGCUGGCGGCAUGCUUUACACAUGCAAGUCGAACGGCAGCACGAAAGAGCUUGCUCUUUUGGUGGCGAGUGGCGAACGGGUGAGUAAUGCAUCGGAACGUACCGAGUAAUGGGGGAUAACUGUCCGAAAGGAUAGCUAAUACCGCAUACGCUUUGAGAAGGAAAGUGGGGGCUCUUCGGACCUCACGUUAUUCGAGCGGCCGAUGUCUGAUUAGCUAGUUGGUGGGGUAAAGGCCUACCAAGGCGACGAUCAGUAGCGGGUCUGAGAGGAUGAUCCCCCAACAGGGAACUGAGAAACGGCCCAGCACCCGAGGGGAGGCACGAUGUGGUAAUUUGGGCAAAGGGGCGAAAGCCUGACCAACCCAGGCGGGUGUGUUGAAGAAGCCCUGCGGUUGUUAAAGGAUUUUUUUUGGGGAAAAAAAGGAUAGUUUUAAAACCAGUAUUUGUGGGGGGAACCAAAAGAAGAAGCCCGGGUAAACUCGGG